CUCUCGAGUCUCCGCCAGAUCCGGGGCGGGUCCGCGGCCGCGGCGGGAACAUGGAGGAGCUCCUGAGGCGCGAGCUGGGCUGCAGCUCUGUCAGGGCCACGGGCCACUCGGGGGGCGGGUGCAUCAGCCAGGGCCGGAGCUACGACACGGAUCAAGGACGAGUGUUCGUGAAAGUGAACCCCAAGGCGGAGGUGAAAAGUGACCCCAGGUCACUGGCAUAGGCAGCCAGGGUGCCGCCUGCACCUGAGAGGUCGGGUGAGUCUGUGUCCUGUAGGUGGAACAGGACUGCAGUUGAGGUGUCGUCUGAGGACACUGACAGGCCAGAAGAAUGUUUGAAGGUGAGAUGGCAAGUUUAACUGCCAUCCUGAAAACAAACACGGUGAAAGUGCCCAAGCCCAUCAAGGUUCUGGAUGCCCCAGGCGGCGGGAGCGUGCUGGUGAUGGAGCACAUGGACAUGAGGCAUCUGAGCAGUCAUGCUGCAAAGCUUGGAGCCCAGCUGGCCGAUUUACACCUUGAUAACAAGAAGCUUGGAGAGAUGCGCCUGAAGGAGGCGGGCACAGUGGGGAGAGGAGGUGGGCAGGAGGAACGGCCCUUUGUGGCCCGGUUUGGAUUUGACGUGGUGACGUGCUGUGGAUACCUCCCCCAGGUGAAUGACUGGCAGGAGGACUGGGUCGUGUUCUAUGCCCGGCAGCGCAUUCAGCCCCAGAUGGACAUGGUGGAGAAGGAGUCUGGGGACAGGGAGGCCCUCCAGCUUUGGUCUGCUCUGCAGUUAAAGAUCCCUGACCUGUUCCGUGACCUGGAGAUCAUCCCAGCCUUACUCCACGGGGACCUCUGGGGUGGAAACGUAGCAGAGGAUUCCUCUGGGCCGGUGAUUUUUGACCCAGCUUCUUUCUACGGCCACUCGGAAUAUGAGCUGGCAAUAGCUGGCAUGUUUGGGGGCUUUAGCAGCUCCUUUUACUCCGCCUACCACGGCAAAAUCCCCAAGGCCCCAGGAUUCGAGAAGCGCCUUCAGUUGUAUCAGCUCUUUCACUACUUGAACCACUGGAAUCAUUUUGGAUCGGGGUACAGAGGAUCCUCCCUGAACAUCAUGAGGAAUCUGGUCAAGUGAGCGGGCCUUACUCUGGAAGGAGGCCUCAGAGGUUUCUCCACAGUCCUCUUCUGGGCAAAUUCUUGUUUCUUCACAUGCUGGACUAGCUUAAGACCAAUGCAGUAGCUUAUUUCCAAGCCUUGCAAAGUAUAUAAUAUCUAAGAGGAAAGGUUUUGUCAUCCCAGCGUUGUCCACUUUGUGGGGCUUUGUAGGUAGACGGAGCCACACUACAGGCAGGGUAUGAGCAGAGGGAUGUAUGGAGUGUGGGUGACUCUGAGCCUCACUGCUGCUGCAAGGUGGGGAAACUGUAAGUGAACCCCUGUGGGUGCGGGGGAGGGUAUCCGGUGCGCAGGGAGGUGGCCAGCGCCCCCGGGCACUGCUGCUCAUAGGUACCUUUCCACUGCCUCCUCCCUGCUCUCCUGUGCAGGAAUGUCUCUGAGCUGUUCACGUUGAUGCUUCUUGGUUGGCAAGACUUGGGUGUAGACAUGAAACCAUCUUACUAAAAGCGUCUUAAAAUGACCAAUUCCAGAAUCAAGCGUAUUCCGUUUUCUUCCUGCAUGAUCCCUGGGCCCUCCCGCAGGCUGAGCAAGUCUGUAAACUGAUUCUGGGAGAAACCAAGCUGCUGGCCAUAGGGUGUCCUUGGGUACAUCCAGGAGUCUUCAUUGCUUCUGUUAUUACCCCGUCUCCUCUGCCAUUUUCUACAGCUUGCUGAGUUGUCAUUCCUUUGCAACAUUAAAAUACAUGCUGAACUCAUAUUUUUCCUUCCUUCACUGUUGUAGUAAAGAGACAUAUUUCAUGAAUGGCAUUGAUGCUAAUAAAUCCUUUGCACAAAAAUUUGAAUAAACUUCCAGUGGUUUCGAUAA